GGACUUGGAGGAGGUAAUGGACUCGGUGGGCUCGGGGGAUUUGGUGGCUUGGGUGGCGGCGGUGGUGCUGGUGGUGGAGUUGGAGGUGGAGUCGGAGCUGCUGUUGGCGGUGGAGCUGGUGGUGGUGUUGGCACUGGUGUCCUUCCUUUCCCUUGAAGUAUGUUAACCUUAAAAUAGUUUAAACUAUUUUAAUAAAGGUGUAGUUAAGUGUUUAUUGUGUGGGAAUCAGAAACUCAGAAAUCGUCUUACUUUAUGUUUUAAUUUGGCACAUGUUUUUCGUUCAUUUUAAUUCGAGCUCAACGUCAUGUUUUUGUAAUAGAUAUUUUACGUAAAUGAAUUUAAUCUUCUGUUCUAUUCGCUA
rnacentral:lncRNA from 1 species